rnacentral:lncRNA from 1 species
GACCAAUAAUGUGGGCUGAGAAGACAUCAUUAUAAAUAGUAACUUCAAAGCCUGUAAUAAGGGUCUUUCUCUCCCCUGAACGAGAAGACCACCGCAUUUUCAUAUCUUUCCUUUCCUACAUUUAUUGCUUUCUAGGAGUAGUCUAAAUGUAAUCUUUUCUUUUUCGCAUUUACUUCUUUCCUAGAAGUAGCUUUUAAGUAGAACUCUGGAGU